rnacentral:rRNA from 1 species
CCCCUAGAUGUUCUGGGCCGCACGCGCGCUACACUGAACAGUUCAACAAGUCUUAACCUUGGCCGAUAGGUCUGGGUAAUCUUUGAACGCUGUUCGUGAUUGGGAUAGACCUUUGCAAUUAUGGGUCUUCAACGAGGAAUUCCUAGUAAACGCAAGUCAUCAGCUUGCAUUGAUUACAUCCCUGCCCUUUGUACACACCGCCCGUCGCACCUACCGAUUGAAUGGUCCGGUGAAAUCUCGGGACGGCGGCUUGGUCGCUUGCGUCCGACUGCUGAAACUUGAUUAAACCAUAUCAUUUAGAGGAAGGUGAAGUCGUANCA